ACAUACGGCCAUAGAUAGUGGAAAACCGCUCUCCCAUAGAUAAGCCACUAAUCGCCUGACUAGUAGUUGGGUCGGUGACGACCAGCGAAUCCCAGGUGCUGUAUGUU
rnacentral:rRNA from 1 species